GCUGGGCAUGGUGGUGUGUGUCUGUAGUCCCAGCUACUCAGGAGACUGAGGCAGGAGGAUCGCUUGAGCCCAGGAAGUUGAGGCUGCAGUGAGCUGUUAUUGGGCCACUGCACUCUAGCCUGGGCAACAGAGUGAGGCCCUGUCUCAA
rnacentral:SRP_RNA from 1 species